rnacentral:tRNA from 1 species
GGGGAUUUAGCUCAGUGGUAGAGUGCCUGCCUAGGAAGCGCAAGGCCCUGGGUUCGGUCCCCAGCUCCG